GCCAGGUGUGGUGGUGCGUACCUAUAGUCCCAGCUAUUUGGGAGGCUGAGGUGGGAGGCUGGCGUGAGUGCAGGAGUUCUGGGCUGCAUUGCUCUAUCAGGUGUCCUCACUAAGUUCAGCACCAGUAUGGUGAACUACAUGGAGCUGGGGCCCACCAGGUUACCUAUGGUGGGGUGAACUGGCUCAGGUUGGAAAUGGAGCACGUCAAAAGAUUCUUAGGAGCUCUGUGCCUGGGGCCUCUGAUGGGCAUUUGAAUCAACUGGAGAGAAAACUCAAACAUUUUCUCCU
ensembl:misc_RNA Metazoa_SRP Metazoan signal recognition particle RNA